CACGUAGGGUGCGAGCGUUGUCCGGAAUUAUUGGGCGUAAAGAGCUCGUAGGCGGUGUGUCGCGUCGGCCGUGAAAACCUGCAGCUUAACUGUGGGCUUGCGGUCGAUACGGGCAUCACUGGAGUUCGGCAGGGGAGACUGGAAUUCCUGGUGUAGCGGUGGAAUGCGCAGAUAUCAGGAGGAACACCGGUGGCGAAGGCGGGUCUCUGGGCAGUAACUGACGCUGAGGAGCGAAAGCGUGGGGAGCAAACAGG
rnacentral:rRNA from 1 species